GUAUAGUCUAUCCUUCUCUCUCUCUCUCUGUUUCUGUUUCUCUCUCUCUCUCUCUCUCUCUCUGUGUGUGUGUGUGUGUGUGUGAGAGAGAGAGAGAGAGAGAGAGAGAGAGAGAGAGAAAGAGAAAUUAU